rnacentral:rRNA from 1 species
UACGUAGGGGGCAAGCGUUGUCCGGCAUUAUUGGGCGUAAAGAGCUCGUAGGCGGCUUGUCGCGUCGGCUGUGAAAACCUGGGGCUCAACCCCGGGCCUGCAGCCGAUACGGGCAAGCUAGAAUUCGGUAGGGGAGACUGGAAUUCCUGGUGUAGCGGUGAAAUGCGUAGAUAUCGUUUGGAACGCCAAAGGUGAAAACAGACAGCUGGGAGUGUGCUGACGCUGAGACACGAAAGCCAGGGGAGCGAACGGG